rnacentral:rRNA from 1 species
AGAGUUUGAUCCUGGCUCAGAACGAACGCUGGCGGCGUGCCUAACACAUGCAAGUCGCACGCAGUUAAGGGGGCAACUCCUUGAUUGAGUGGCGCACGGGUGAGUAACGCGUAGGGAACCUACCUUUUUGUGGGGGAUAACGUUCCGAAAGGAAUGGUAAUACCGCAUGAGACCAUGGGCUGGAAUGUUCAUGGUGAAAGCCGGGGAUCGAAAGACCUGGCGCAAGAAGAGGGUCCUGCGUCUGAUUAGCUAGUUGGCGGGGUAACGGCCCACCAAGGCAACGAUGGCUAGGGGUUCUGAGAGGAUUAUCCCCCACACUGGUACUGAGACACGGACCAGACUCCUACGGGAGGCAGCAGUGAGGAAUAUUGGUCAAUGGACGCAAGUCUGAACCAGCCAUGCCGCGUGCAGGAUGACGGCCUUAUGGGUUGUAAACUGCUUUUUGUCAGGGAAUAAACCCCUUGUUUGCGAACAAGGCUGAAGGUACCUGAAGAAUAAGCAUCGGCUAACUCCGUGCCAGCG